GAGGAACCUGCCCCGAAGACCGGGAUAACCCGGGGAAACCCGAGCUAAUACCGGAUACCCUCACCAGAUCGCAUGGUCUGGUGAGGAAAUGUUCUUCGCUUCGGGAGGGCCUCGCGGCCUAUCAGCUUGUUGGCGGGGUAACGGCCCACCAAGGCAUCGACGGGUAGCUGGUCUGAGAGGACGAUCAGCCACGCUGGGACUGAGACACGGCCCAGACUCCUACGGGAGGCAGCAGUGGGGAAUCUUGCGCAAUGGGCGAAAGCCUGACGCAGCAACGCCGCGUGGGGGAUGAAGGCUCUCGGGUCGUAAACCCCUUUCAACAGGGACGAAAUUGACGGUACCUGCAGAAGAAGCCCCGGCCAACUACGUGCCAGCAGCCGCGGUAACACGUAGGGGGCAAGCGUUGUCCGGAUUUAUUGGGCGUAAAGAGCUCGUAGGCGGUUCGGCAAGUCGGGUGUGAAACCUCCAGGCUCAACCUGGAGACGCCACUCGAUACUGCUGUGUCUUAAUACGACUCACUAUAGGGCGAAUUGAAUUUAGCGGCCGCGAAUUCGCCCUUGACUACUGGGGUAUCUAAUCCCAUUGUGAGUCACGCGUUACUCACCCGUCCGCGGACUACUGGGGUAUCUAAUCCCAUUCACGCGUUACUCACCCGUCCG
rnacentral:rRNA from 1 species